AUGAACGCUGGCGGCGUGCUUCACACCUGCAAGUCGAACGAUGAAGCCCAGCUUGCUGGGUGGAUUAGUGGCGAACGGGUGAGUAACACGUGAGUAACCUGCCCUUAACUCUGGGAUAAGCCUGGGAAACUGGGUCUAAUACCGGAUAGGAGCGUCCACCGCAUGGUGGGUGUUGGAAAGAUUUAUCGGUUUUGGAUGGACUCGCGGCCUAUCAGCUUGUUGGUGAGGUAAUGGCUCACCAAGGCGACGACGGGUAGCCGGCCUGAGAGGGUGACCGGCCACACUGGGACUGAGGCACGGCCCAGACUCCUACGGGAGGCAGCAGUGGGGAAUAUUGCACAAUGGGCGCAAGCCUGAUGCAGCGACGCCGCGUGAGGGAUGACGGCCUUCGGGUUGUAAACCUCUUUCAGUAGGGAAGAAGCGAAAGUGACGGUACCUGCAGAAGAAGCACCGGCUAACUACGUG
rnacentral:rRNA from 1 species